UCAUUGAAACAAAACAUAAUGAUUCACAUACAGCAUAUAUAUUGUACUCUAUUCUAUUUUGAAGCAGAUCAAAAGUGGAAAAAAUUUCUUAUAAAUUUAGGUACAUUAUAGAUUCAUGACAAAUGGGAAAUUGGCAAAUGGAGGUUGGAAGAAUGAUGUCAUAUAUAUUAUUUCCCAUUGGAGUUUAUUAUUAUUUUAAUCAAACAGAAAAUAUUGAAGAAUGGAUAAAGACUGAAAAGAAAAAGUUUCAAAAUUCAGAUAACAUACAACAUACAGAAUUUAUGAAUUUUAUUGAGGAAUUUAAUAAAAAGCAACAGUUAAAAAGAAUUGUAGAAAUGGAAGCGCAAUAUAAUGAAGUGAAAUAGAUUAGAAUUAUGUUUUAGAAUUAUAUGAUCUGGAAUUUUUGCUUAUAAAUGAAUACAUAAAGUACAUUAUGCAAAUGUAGAUAUAUUAUUGUAUUUAUUUUUUUUAUAGUUAUUAUUUUUAAUAUUUAUAAUAU